ensembl:lncRNA
GUGACUGCAGUUGUUUUAUUCUUCGUUCUCGUGUCCUUUAUCCGAAAACCACGAGAAAGCAGGGUGAAAUUCAGGAUUGUGAAGGAGGGGUGGAAGAACAACUGUCCGAAGCCAGCGGACGUUUUGGCGGCAUGGAAACCAGCCACCAGACUCGUCAUCGAGACUGAUGAGGGCUUCUGCCAGAACGCGUCUCAGCAGACGUGGAAAGGCCUGGCCCUCAAAGGUUUUGGUGGAGAGAAAGGGCUAGGAGUUGUUGCAACCCAACCCUUUUCCAAGGGUGACAUCGUGUGUGAUGACCGUGGGAAGGUAAUCACAGCGGCCCAGGGAAAAGUCAUGAUGCAGAAUCUACAGGAUGAAGCACCAGAGUAGCUGUUUUUCUUCAGGACCGGGCAGAGGCAUCUCCGCAUCGACGCCCAGACUUUUCCCUGUGAAUGCCACCCCUGUGCAGACACUGUGGGCAGAAGACUGAAGCAUUCAUCCAAGCAAGCCGACCUGUGUCCGGAACCUUUCGUUUUGAAGCUUUGACCACCUUGAAUGAGGGGCACUUUAACAAGCCAUCCA